AUUGAACGCUGGCGGCAUGCCUUACACAUGCAAGUCGAACGGCAGCGCGGGCUUCGGCCUCUCGGCGAGUGGCGAACGGGUGAGUAAUGCAUCGGAACGUGCCCAGUAGUGGGGGAUAGGGCGGCGAAAGCCGGAUUAAUACCGCAUACGACCUGAGGGUGUAAGCGGGGGACCGAAAGGCCUCGCGCUAUUGGACCGGCCGAUGUCGUAUUAGCAGGUUGGCGGGGUAAAGGCUUACCAAGGCGACGAUCCGUAGCUGCUCUGAGAGGACGACCAGCCACACUGGGACUACGACACGGCCCAGACUCCUCCGGGGGGAGGCAGUGGGGAAUUUUGGAAAAUGAGGGCAGCCCUGCUGAAGCAAUGCCGCCGGGUGGAAGAAGGACUUCGGGUUGUAAACCACCUUUGUUGUGGAGAAAGAAAUCUAGGGUAAUAACCCCCCGGGAUGACGGUACCGCACGAAUAAGCACCGGCUAACUACGUG
rnacentral:rRNA from 1 species